UACGGAGGGUGCAAGCGUUAAUCGGAAUUACUGGGCGUAAAGCGCACGCAGGUGGCUGAGUCAGUCGAUUGUGAAAGCCCUGGGCUUAACCUGGGAAUUGCAUUGGAUACUGGCAGGCUAGAGUGCGGUAGAGGAUGGCGGAAUUCCCGGUGUAGCAGUGAAAUGCGUAGAGAUCGGGAGGAACAUCUGUGGCGAAGGCGGCCAUCUGGACCAGCACUGACACUGAGGCACGAAAGCGUGGGGAGCAAACAGGG
rnacentral:rRNA from 1 species